UGGGGAAUCUUGGACAAUGGGGGAAACCCUGAUCCAGCCAUGCCGCGUGAAUGAAGACGGCCUUCGGGUUGUAAAGUUCUUUCAGUAGGGAAGAUAAUGACUGUACCUACAGAAGAAGCCCCGGCUAACUCCGUGCCAGCAGCCGCGGUAAGACGGAGGGGGCUAGCGUUGUUCGGAAUUACUGGGCGUAAAGGGUGCGUAGGCGGUUUUGUAAGUCAGAGGUGAAAUUCCCGAGCUCAACUUGGGCGCUGCCUUUGAUACUGCAAGACUAGAGAUUGGAAGAGGUAGGUAGAAUUCCUAGUGUAGAGGUGAAAUUCGUAGAUAUUAGGAGGAAUACCGGUGGCGAAGGCGACCUACUGGUCCAUAUCUGACGCUGAGGCACGAAAGCGUGGGGAUCAAA
rnacentral:rRNA from 1 species